rnacentral:rRNA from 1 species
CGAACGGUGAACACGGAGCUUGCUCUGUGGGAUCAGUGGCGAACGGGUGAGUAACACGUGAGCAACCUGCCCCUGACUCUGGGAUAAGCGCUGGAAACGGCGUCUAAUACUGGAUACGAACCAUGAAGGCAUCUUCAGUGGUUGGAAAGAUUUAUUGGUUGGGGAUGGGCUCGCGGCCUAUCAGCUUGUUGGUGAGGUAAUGGCUCACCAAGGCGUCGACGGGUAGCCGGCCUGAGAGGGUGACCGGCCACACUGGGACUGAGACACGGCCCAGACUCCUACGGGAGGCAGCAGUGGGGAAUAUUGCACAAUGGGCGCAAGCCUGAUGCAGCAACGCCGCGUGAGGGAUGACGGCCUUCGGGUUGUAAACCUCUUUUAGCAGGGAAGAAGCGAAAGUGACGGUACCUGCAGAAAAAGCGCCGGCUAACUACGUGCCAGCAGCCGCGGUAAUACGUAGGGCGCAAGCGUUAUCCGGAAUUAUUGGGCGUAAAGAGCUCGUAGGCGGUUUGUCGCGUCUGCUGUGAAAUCCGGAGGCUCAACCUCCGGCCUGCAGUGGGUACGGGCAGACUAGAGUGCGGUAGGGGAGAUUGGAAUUCCUGGUGUAGCGGUGGAAUGCGCAGAUAUCAGGAGGAACACCGAUGGCGAAGGCAGAUCUCUGGGCCGUAACUGACGCUGAGGAGCGAAAGGGUGGGGAGCAAACAGGCUUAGAUACCCUGGUAGUCCACCCCGUAAACGUUGGGAACUAGUUGUGGGGUCCAUUCCACGGAUUCCGUGACGCAGCUAACGCAUUAAGUUCCCCGCCUGGGGAGUACGGCCGCAAGGCU